GGCCUCCCAAUAUCACAGGCUGUGUUCUUUACACUGAUUGUCUAGAAAGAGGAGGUACAGUAAAUGCUCCUCAUAUAAACCUCAAACCAGGCCCUUUGCCAGGUCUGUCUUGUGAAUGGAGGGACAAAA